rnacentral:rRNA from 1 species
CCUGCCGUUGCCGGCGACCGGCGCACGGGUGAGUAACACGUAUGCAACCUGCCCGUGGCAGGGGGAUAAGCGGGGGAAACCCCGUCUAAUACCGCGUAACGCGGCCUUGGGGCAUCCCAAGGCCGCCAAAGGGAGCAAUCCCGGCCACGGAUGGGCAUGCGGCGCAUUAGCUAGUCGGCGGGGUAACGGCCCACCGGGGCGACGAUGCGUAGGGGUUCUGAGAGGAAGGCCCCCCACACUGGUACUGAGACACGGACCAGACUCCUACGGGAGGCAGCAG